ensembl:lncRNA
AUGGGCCCCCUCCACCAAGAGAUGGUUUCAGACCUUCAUUUGGUGGGAAACCCGGCAGCAGAUGAGGAUGUCCAAGCUAAUGAGGGACCUUCUGACAUUAGGGGACCUCAUAAGUUUCCAGGAAGCCAUAACAGAACAAGAGGACCUAGCAAUCAUAACAGAACUGCACCAAACCCAGGGAAGCAUAACGAAACCUCCUCAGAGGAAUUUGAGCAUCACCCAGAUUCCUCCAAUCGCCAUGGUCCACAGAGGAUCAGUAGAUCCAACAAUAAAAGACAGAACUCUAAGAAGUCCAGUGGUGCAGACGACAAAGGUCCCUUGAAAAGAAAACCAGAGAAGUUUCAAAAUGAGCUCCAUGACAGAUCAACAGAGGAACCAGACGAGGAUGACCAAGGUAAUGAGGGACCUUCUGACAUUAGGGGACCUCAUAAGUUUCCAGGAAGCCAUAACAGGACAAGAGGACCUCAUAAGUUUCCAGGAAGCCAUAACAGAACUGCAUCAAGCCCAGGAAACCAUAAUGAAACCUCCUCAGAGGAAUUUGAGCAUCACAGAGGAUCCUCCCAUCACCCUGGGGCCAAGGUCAAGGAUGAACGGGGUGAAUCAGGACCACAGAGGAUCAGUAGAUCCAUCAAUAAAAGCCAGAAUUCCAAGCUCCAUGACAGAUCAACAGAGGAACCAGACGAGGAUGACCAAGCUAAUGAGGGACCUUCUGACAUUAGGGGACCUCAUAAGUUUCCAGGAAGCCAUAACAGGACAAGAGGACCUCAUAAGUUUCCAGGAAGCCAUAACAGAACUGCAUCAAGCCCAGGAAACCAUAAUGAAACCUCCUCAGAGGAAUUUGAGCAUCACAGAGGAUCCUCCCAUCACCAUGGGCCCAAGGUCAAGGAUGAAUGGGCUGAAUCAGGGCCACAGAGGAUCAGUAGAUCCAACAAUAAAAGCCAGAAUUCCAAGCUCCAUGACAGAUCAACAGAGGAACCAGACGAGGAUGACCAAGGUAAUGAGGGACCUUCUGACAUUAGGGGACCUCAUAAGUUUCCAGGAAGCCAUAACAGGACAAGAGGACCUCAUAAGUUUCCAGGAAGCCAUAACAGAACUGCAUCAAGCCCAGGAAACCAUAAUGAAACCUCCUCAGAGGAAUUUGAGCAUCACCCAGGAUCCUCCCAUCACCAUGGGGCCAAGGUCAAGGAUGAAUGGGGUGAAUCAGGGCCACAGAGGAUCAGUAGAUCCAACAAUAAAAGCCAGAAUUCCAAGAAGUCCAGUGGUUCAGAUGACAAACGUCCCUUGAAAAGAAAACAGGAGAAGUUUCAAAAUGAUCUCCAUGACAGAACAACAGAAGCACCAGACAAGGAUGACCAAGCUAAUGAGGGACCGUCGGACAUUAGGGGACCUCAUAAGUUUCCAGGAAGCCAUAACAGAACAAGAGGACCUACUGAGCUUCCAGGAAGCCCUAACAGAACUGCAUCAAGCUCAGAGGAAUUUGAGCAUCACCAUGGGCCCAAGGUCAAGGAUCAAUGGGAUGAAUUAGGACCACAGAGAAUCAGUAGUUCCAAUCAAAAGAACCAGAUUUUCAAGAAGCCCAAUGGUGCAGAUGGCAAAGGUCCUUUGGAAUUUCUUCCAGAGAAGUUUCAAAAUGAGAUUCGGGAGUUCAUUCCACUAAUUUGGGGUGAUAAUGUAACGGUUGAGAAUAUCACCCGCUUGCAUCUGAAGGAGGGUGAAAACAUUUUUCUGCUUCCAUUGGAUGCAAUGCAGCCACCCCCACCAAAGCGGGGAAACAGAGCUCCUGAGGAGAUGGUAAGAAACAUUUAUUCUAAUUUGCUGCACUGAUUUUGUUGAGCCAGAUCUAAACAGUCCUCUUCAUUCGUAUCAGUACUGGCUUCCAAACCGAGGCGCUCAGGUAAAAAAAAAAAAUUAAAACAUAUCUUACAAUAGACAAAAAUGUUAUUUAAAAACAAAUAAUUUAAUUGAUUUUAUUUUCAGCCUUACAUGAACUUGAUUUUCAACCCAAGCGCCACG